rnacentral:rRNA from 1 species
UUCCGGUUGAUCCUGCCGGAGGCGACCGCUUUGGGAGUUCGAUUAAGCCAUGCGAGUCGUGAGUCUUAGGGACUCGGCAUACUGCUCAGUAACACGUGGAUAACCUGCCCUAUCGUCUGGAAUAACCUCGGGAAACUGAGAAUAAGGCCGGAUAGUUCACAAUGCCUGGAACGGUUUGUGAAUCAAGGUAGGAUGGGUCUGCGGCGUAUCAGGUUGUAGGGGGUGUAAAGGACCCCCUAGCCUUCGACGCGUACGGGUGUUGGGAGACAUAGCCCGGAGAUGGAUUCUGAGACACGAAUCCAGACCCUACGGGGUGCAGCAGGCGCGAAAACUUCACACUGCAGGAAACUGUGAUGAGGGAACUCCUAGUGCAUGCACUAUGUGUAUGUAGAUCCUACUCUUAACAAGUAGAGGGAAAGGGCUGGGAAAGACCGGUGCCAGCCGCCGCGGUAAUACCGGCAGCUCAAGUGGUCGUCGCUUUUAUUGGGCCUAAAACGUCCGUAGCCUGUUUGGUAAAUCUGUGGGUAAAUCAAUCCGCUCAACGGAUUGAAUUCUGCAGAGACUGCCAGACUAGGGACCGGGAGGGGUGUGGGGUACUCGAGGGGUAGGGGUAAAAUCCUGUCAUCCUUCGAGGACCACCAGUUGCGAAGGCGCCACACUGGAAUGGAUCCGACGGUCAGGGACGAAGCCUAGGGGCACGAACCGGAUUAGAUACCCGGGUAGUCCUAGGUGUAAACGCUGUGAACUUGGUGUCGGGGGUCCGCAAAGGGUCCCCGGUGCCCGGAGUGAAGAUGUUAAGUUCACUGCCUGGGGAGUACGGUCGCAAGGCUGAAACUUAAAGGAAUUGGCGGGGCAGCAC